UUAUAUUCUAAUCCCUUUUUAUUUUUUAUUUUGAUACAGUGUCUUGCUAAGUUUCCCGCACUGGCCUUGAACUUGUGAUCCUCCUACAUCAGAAUUCCAAAUUGCUGUGAUUGCCAUAAUGGAUAUGUUUCAAGACCCUCCGUGGAUGCCAGAAAUGAAGUCAUCUUCCCAUAUUGAUUAUGAUGCUUUCAAGAGAAGGAAACUACAUGGGAACUAA
rnacentral:lncRNA from 1 species